GACGAACGCUGGCGGCGUGCUUAACACAUGCAAGUCGAGCGGAGCGGCGAACGGGUGAGUAACGCGUGAGUAACUGCCCCCCUCUCUGGGGUAACAGUUGGAAACGGCUGCUAAUACCGGAUAGUGGGGUAUGACGCGCUGCCUAGCAGCUUGUUGGUGGGGUAGUGGCCUACCAAGGCGACGACGGGUAGCCGGCCUGAGAGGGCGACCGGCCAAAUGGGGCUGAGAUACGGCCCAAACUCCUACGGGAGGCAGGAGGGGGGAAUAUUGUAAAAUGGGGGAAACCCUGAUGCAGCAACGCCGCGUGCGGGAUGACGGCCUUCGGGUUGUAAUCCGCUUUCAGCAAUGACGCGGUAGUGGCAGAAGAAGCACCGGCUAACUACGUGCCAGCCGCCGCGGUAAUAC
rnacentral:rRNA from 1 species